rnacentral:misc_RNA from 1 species
GAUGAAGAACGUAGCGAAAUGCGAUACUUGGUGUGAAUUGCAGAAUCCCGUGAACCAUCGAGUCUUUGAACGCAAGUUGCGCCCGAAGCCAUUAGGCCGAGGGCACGCCUGCCUGGGCGUCACACGUCGUUGCCCCCCCAUCUACUCCUUCGGGAUUGCGGGGGGCGGAUGACGGCCUCCCGUGCGCCUCGCCGCGCGGUUGGCAUAAAUGCCAAGUCCUCGGCGACGCACGCCACGACAAUCGGUGGUUGCGAAACCUCGGUUGCCCGUCGUGUGCGGUCGUCGCGCAUCGAGGGCUCGAAAAAAUUGCCGGGUUCCGGCUCGGCUUUCAACGCGACCCCAGGUCAGGCGGGGUUACCCGCUGUAUUUAAGCAUAUCAAUAAGCGGAGGA